GGUGAACGCUGGCGGCGUGCUUAAGACAUGCAAGUCGAACGCAGUCUUCGGACUGAGUGGCGCACGGGUGAGUAACACGUAACUGACCUACCCCCAAGUCGCGAAUAACCAGCCGAAAGGAUGGCUAAUACGUGAUGUGAUGAUCCGCUGUGGCGGAUCAUUAAAGACUUGAUCGCUUGGAGAUGGGGUUGCGUUCCAUCAGCUAGUUGGUAAGGUAAAGGCUUACCAAGGCAACGACGGAUAGCCGGCCUGAGAGGGUGGCCGGCCACAGGGGCACUGAGACACGGGUCCCACUCCUACGGGAGGCAGCAGUUAGGGAUCUUCCACAAUGGUCGAAAGCCUGAUGGAGCGACGCCGCGUGAGGGAUGAGGUUCUCGGAUCGUAAACCUCUGAACCAACGACGAAAGACCCGACAAGGGAGAUGACGGUAGUUGGGUAAUAGCACCGGCUAACUCCGUGCCAGCAGCCGCGGUAAAAC
rnacentral:rRNA from 1 species